rnacentral:rRNA from 1 species
GUACCAUAACCGACACAGGUGGGUAAGUAGAGUAUACUAAGGGGCGCGAGAUAACUCUCUCUAAGGAACUCGGCAAAAUAACUCCGUAACUUCGGGAGAAGGAGUGCCUUAUUCUUAAGGUUGCAAUAACAAGAUCCAAGCAACUGUUUAUCAAAAACACAGGUCUCCGCAAAGUCGUAAGACGAUGUAUGGGGGCUGACGCCUGCCCAGUGCCAGAAGGUUAAAGAAGUCGGUUAGCAAUAGCAAAGCUGGUAACUGAAGCCCUGGUGAACGGCGGCCGUAACAAUAACGGUCCUAAGGUAGCGAAAUUCCUUGUCGGGUAAGUUCCGACCCGCACGAAAGGCGUAAUGAUUUGGAUGCUGUCUCGGAGAGGGGCUCGGUGAAAUAGACUUGUCUGUGAAGAUGCGGACUACCUGCACCAGGACAGAAAGACCCUAUGAAGCUUUACUGUAACUUGAAAUUGAAAUUGGACUUUAUUCGCGCAGUAUAGGUGGGAGGCGUUGAUUAUAAUCUUGUGGGAUUAUUGGAGCCAUCAGUGAGAUACCACUCUUGUAGUGUUAGAUUUCUAACUUUGAAUCAUUAUCUGGUCAAAGGACAGUUUCAGGCGGGCAGUUUGACUGGGGCGGUCGCCUCCUAAACGGUAACGGAGGCGUACAAAGGUUUCCUCUGAACGGUUAGAAAUCGUAUCUAGAGUGUAAAGGCAUAAGGAAGCUUGACUGUGAGACCUACAAGUCGAGCAGGGACGAAAGUCGGUCUUAGUGAUCUGACGGUACUGAGUGGAAAGGCCGUCACUCAACGGAUAAAAGUUACUCUAAGGAUAACAGGCUGAUCUCCCCCAAGAGUUCACAUCGACGGGGAGGUUUGGCACCUCGAUGUCGGCUCAUCGCAUCCUGGGGCGGUAGUACGUCCCAAGGGUUGGGCUGUUCGCCCAUGAAAGCGGUACGCGAGCUGGGUUCAGAACGUCGUGAGACAGUUCGGUCCAUAUCCGGUGUAGGCGCUAGAAUAUUGAGAGGAGCCUUCUUUAGUACGAGAGGACCGAGAAGGACAUACCUCUGGUGUACCAGUUAUCGUGCCAACGGUAAACGCUGGGUAGCUAUGUAUGGAGUGGAUAACCGCUGAAAGCAUCUAAGUGGGAAGCCCACCUCAAGAUAAGUAUUCUCAUCACGUAAGUGAGUAAGGUCACGGUAAGACUAACCGUUUGAUAGGCAUUAAGUGUAAGUACAGUAAUGUAUGUGCUGAGAUGUCCUAAUAGACCGAGGACUUG